GAGGCUCAGUCAGUAGAGCAAUGGACUCUUAAUCUCAGGAUCUUGGGUUCAAGCCCCAUGUUGGGCA